GCCUCCGUGGCCAAAUGGAUAAGGCAUCGGUUUCCUAAACCGGGGAUUGUGGGUUCGAGUCCCACCGGAGGUG
rfam:Strongylocentrotus purpuratus Contig91182_fixed, whole genome shotgun sequence.